rnacentral:tRNA from 1 species
CCCUGUAGCUCAGUUGGUAGAGCAUGGUGUUUGCAACGCCAGGGUUGUGGGUUCGUUUCCUACAGGGG